rnacentral:lncRNA from 1 species
GAAUAAAACUUUGAGGACUCUGUUGGCCCCCAUAGGAUGACUUUUGCCUUGCAAUCUGAUCCCUGGCAGGUUACUGUUGGUGGAUAGAAUUUCCAGGGGACUGGAAGACAUCUCGGAAGACAUUCUCGCUCAGUAGUAACCUGCCCUGGUAACCACAGAGGCGCUCCCCCACCCCAAGCCAGGCUGCAAGCUCAGAGUUUGGGGCGGCCCCAUGGCCACAGUGUCCUUUUGUUCUCCCAGGAAACACGGAAGAGUGCCUGCCACCAACAAGGCAUUGUGUCGGCCCCAGGCCGGAGAAAGACACCCCACAGGACCUUGAGCGUCGUGAAACUCCAUGGAGAACUGUGCCCGUCCAGUUCUCAGACUUCUUCGCAGUGUGCUGAAUGCUACCCACUUAGUUAAACAGAAAAGCCAAAGACCUGAACUAGAACAUGGAGAGUAAAUAGUGUGGGCCAGGGCCGGCCCCAGGAAGACACAGUUCAACACCACCAGGCAGUCUGCAGAGCGCUUCUCCUGAGGGGUGGUUGGCACCACGCCACCUGCAGUAAGAGAGGUGAGUCCCACAGAGGGACGUCUGGGGCCCACAUGAGUGCCGGGCACCCCACACACAGGCACACAUCCAGAGCCUGGGACAGCGUGUGUUCCCACUCACUCUCCCAGUGAGACCAGUGAAGACCGCUCCUCGUGGAGCGACUUCAUGUCUGGACUUCCACACAAGCGUACCACCAAGCUAGAGCAUCCGGUGUGAGUCCUUCAUCUUCCCAUCCAGACCCUGGUGCUCACAUGAGACUCAAGUCCUUGCAGAAGGAUGGGCCACCAUUCCCCAAAAUGAGGGGCUAUCUCACACCAGUGAUCUCACUCCCUGUAUUAUUUAUAGUAAAGUAAACCAUAUAGUUACGUGAAAGAGAACUCGAGAUGCUCUAGUGUGUGAUGCAUACGGCACAUCCUCUCUCCACAAGUGUUUGUCAACCGUGUCCUAAUCUAUCUGCCAUGGAGUCAGGAAAUGACAGGAAGACAGAAAAAUCACAGAAACAGCUCCUGUCCCCAGACGCUCUGCUAAUCGAGGUUAUUUUUGUGACAAAACUGCCGACUCUGGUGGCUGCACUCCAUCUCACAGGUUUCCGUAAGCUGAACUGAAGAACCGCAUUUUUGAAGCUCUGCACACAUUUGAAAGCCCCUCUUGAAAAUGCCGAUAAUAUUCAAACAAAUAGCUGGAUGUUUGGGAAGAGAAUAGCAUUCUUUUCCCCGGCAGCAUUUUCUCCUAAACCUCAGCUGUCAACACGG